CGUAGUAACAACGAAUCAUGAGAAGUCAGCCGAGGUCAUAGUAGCGAUGAAGUUUCUGUAAUGGAAACGGAUCAAAGGGC
rfam:Streptococcus agalactiae LMG 14747 ctg7180000010264, whole genome shotgun sequence.